rnacentral:lncRNA from 1 species
AAAAUGCACAUUCCCGCAGAACAGUUUCAAGAAUAUGCAGUCUCGAAGAUGGCUCUGAGGGAAUGAUCUUCACUUACUGACAAUGAAUGGUUUCUCUAUCGAUAAUGCAAAAUAUUCUGAAAAAUUUAAUAAGGAAAAUAAAACUUUUGUCUUAAUAAUACAUGAUUUUGAUGUCAUGGACAUUAAUGUUCCUUAUGAGUGUAUUUAUGGAUCGUCAGCCUUUGUGAAAAUGCUUAAUUUGACGGAAGACAAGUUUGAAUGUAAGUCACAAACCAAAUUAUACAAUUACAUUUAAUUUAAAUAACAGUGAUCUGUUUCAUCUCUGUCAGAAGUUU